CCAUAACCAUCCAGAGCUGGUUUCCCAACUUGAGAGCUGCUUAGACCAAUCUGUUUCUGACCUUCCAUUACAUAGGUCAUGCCACUCAACAACUGUUGUUUCUGACAUCUUACUGUGUUCAUUGACUCUGCAUUACUAAACCUGUUUUCACCUAUCCUUGCAUUGCAUUUUGAGAUCUCCAUUCUUUCAAGGCCCGGUAGCUUCGUAAAAGCCAUCCCAAUGUUAGCAGGACUGUAAAUUGGGUGAAGUUUUGAGUGUGAGCUACCCUGGUUAUCAGUAGAUUGUGCAACACAUGGAUCCACAUGUUCCCUACUUCCAUGGCACACAUUAGUUCUGAAGUUACCUGGUCUGGUAGUUGGGAUGCAUUCCUUGGCAGGCAUACUUCUCAAUGAAGACAAGUCAUUUGAAUCAACUCUUUAGCUGAAAAAUGUAUGUGAUACUGCAGAGGGCAACACACUAGCUUGAUAGGAAAGUUGGUUGGCAAGCAUAGGUGGACUCUGGUGCCUUCAUAUAUCUAUAUAUAUCUUUUAAGUUGACGACCCUCGUGAUGCUGAAACUGAUGAAGACCUCUGAUGAAAAAAGAGACAUGCUGCACAUGCACGAGGGUACUUGCAGAUAGAUGUCGGCUCUAUGGACGAACACUCGACCAAGUCAGAUGAGGAGUAUGAGGGCCUAGCCAUGCGCGACGUGAUGGCUACUGGUCCGACGAUGAGCAGCAAGCUGUGAGUUAAAGAUGAACUCACCUGCUCUAGAGAGUAACAUCCAUAGGAGUGAGGCAAAAUGGCUGGUACCACCACAACAUGGACCCGUUCCUGAAGAUGUCCAAGGAGAUGGUAGCCGACACCAUAAUGUCUUGUGUCAUUGUGUCACCGGCCGGCAACACGCUGCGCUGGUACCGGCGGGUGUUGUGUUUCUUAGGCGUCUGCUUCUGUGCUUUGAGUUGUGCUAUAGAGUGGUUGUGCCAACUACUGAUUUUAAAAGAAAAAGUGAGCUGAGAAUCAUUGUUGAAAACAAAUAUGUAACUGUUCGUUCUCAUCAGUUGUGCCAACUACCAAGCAUUUCAUUGAU